CCUACGGGAGGCUGCAGUGAGGAAUAUUGGGCAAUGGACGAGAGUCUGAACCAGCCAAGUAGCGUGAAGGAUGACUGCCCUAGGGGUUGUAAACUUCUUUUAUAUGGGAAUAAAAUGUUCCACGUGUGGGAUUUUGUAUGUACCAUAUGAAUAAGGAUCGGCUAACUCCGUGCCAGCAGCCGCGGUAAUACGGGGGAUCCGAGCGUUAUCCGGAUUUAUUGGGUUUAAGGGGUGCGUGGGUGGAUUGUUAAGUCGGUGGUAAAAGUUUGCGGCUCAACCGUAAAAUUGCAGUUGAAUCUGGCAGUCUUAGGUACAGUGGAGGUGGGCGAACUUCGUGGUGUGGCUGUGAAGUGCU
rnacentral:rRNA from 1 species